CCUACGGGUGGCUGCAGUGAGGAAUAUUGGUCAAUGGACGAGAGUCUGAACCAGCCAAGUAGCGUGAAGGAUGACUGCCCUAUGGGUUGUAAACUUCUUUUAUAUGGGAAUAAAACGUUCCACGUGUGGGAUUUUGUAUGUACCAUAUGAAUAAGGAUCGGCUAACUACGUGCCAGCAGCCGCGGUAAUACGGAGGAUCCGAGCGUUAUCCGGGUUUAUUGGGUUUAAAGGGAGCGUAGGUGGUUUGUUAAGUCAGUUGUGAAAGUUUGAGGCUAAACCGUAAAAUUGCAGUUGGAACUGGCAGUCUUGAGUACAGUAGAGGUGAGCGGAAUUCGUGGUGUAGCGGUGAAAUGCUUAGAUAUCACGAAGAACUCCGAUUGCGAAGGCAGUUCACUGGACUGAAACUGACACUGAGGCUCGAAAGUGUGGGUAGCAAACAGGAUUAGAUACCCUUGUAGUC
rnacentral:rRNA from 1 species